AGAGUUUGAUCAUGGCUCAGGACGAACGCUGGCGGCGUGCUUAACACAUGCAAGUCGAACGGAAAGGCCCUUCGGGGUACUCGAGUGGCGAACGGGUGAGUAACACGUGGGUGAUCUGCCCUGCACUUUGGGAUAAGCCUGGGAAACUGGGUCUAAUACCGAAUAUGACCACGCUCUUCAUGGGGUGUGGUGGAAAGCUUUUGCGGUGUGGGAUGGGCCCGCGGCCUAUCAGCUUGUUGGUGGGGUAAUGGCCUACCAAGGCGACGACGGGUAGCCGGCCUGAGAGGGUGACCGGCCACACUGGGACUGAGAUACGGCCCAGACUCCUACGGGAGGCGGCAGUGGGGAAUAUUGCACAAUGGGCGCAAGCCUGAUGCAGCGACGCCGCGUGAGGGAUGACGGCCUUCGGGUUGUAAACCUCUUUCACCAGGGACGAAGCGCAAGUGACGGUACCUGGAGAAGAAGCACCGGCCAACUACGUGCCAGCAGCCGCGGUAAUACGUAGGGUGCGAGCGUUGUCCGGAAUUACUGGGCGUAAAGAGCUCGUAGGUGGUUUGUCGCGUUGUUCGUGAAAACUCACAGCUUAACUGUGGGCGUGCGGGCGAUACGGGCAGACUAGAGUACUGCAGGGGAGACUGGAAUUCCUGGUGUAGCGGUGGAAUGCGCAGAUAUCAGGAGGAACACCGGUGGCGAAGGCGGGUCUCUGGGCAGUAACUGACGCUGAGGAGCGAAAGCGUGGGGAGCGAACAGGAUUAGAUACCCCGGUAGUCCAA
rnacentral:rRNA from 1 species